rnacentral:rRNA from 1 species
UUGAACGCUGGCGGCAUGCUUUACACAUGCAAGUCGAACGGCAGCGGGGGCUUCGGCCUGCCGGCGAGUGGCGAACGGGUGAGUAAUGCAUUGGAACGUGCCCAGUCAUGGGGGAUAACUACGCGAAAGCGUAGCUAAUACCGCAUACGCCCUGAGGGGGAAAGCGGGGGAUCGCAAGACCUCGCGUGAUUGGAGCGGCCGAUGUCUGAUUAGCUAGUUGGUGGGGUAAAGGCCCACCAAGGCGACGAUCAGUAGCGGGUCUGAGAGGAUGAUCCGCCACACUGGGACUGAGACACGGCCCAGACUCCUACGGGAGGCAGCAGUGGGGAAUUUUGGACAAUGGGGGCAACCCUGAUCCAGCCAUGCCGCGUGCGGGAAGAAGGCCUUCGGGUUGUAAACCGCUUUCGGACGGAAAGAAAUCGCAUGGACUAAUACUCUGUGUGGAUGACGGUACCGUAAGAAGAAGCACCGGCUAACUACGU